GGAGAGGUGGCUGAGUGGUCGAAGGCGGCGGUCUUGAAAACCGUUGACCGUUUGCGCGGUCCGGGGGUUCGAAUCCCUCCCUCUCCG
rnacentral:tRNA from 1 species